UAUGCAAAUAUGAACUUUGCUUACGUUAACUAAUCGCCCUCUCUAAAGAUUUUGUCCGAUUCAAUCUAUAGAGGGGAAAACCAAUCGGAAUAAGGUCGGAUAAUUUUUUCAGUUGGUUAUCUGACCGAUAAACUUAACUGACUAUCCUAGACGAUUUGAUUAUUUAGGCGCUAGGAUUAGAGUUAAAAAUAGUCUAUUCUAAGCUAAACAUUUUUAAGGGUGUUUUCUCGGACGCGGGUUCAAUUCCCGCCAUCUCCACUC
rnacentral:tmRNA from 1 species